CUAAAAAAAUAAAGAUAAAAAAUUAAUCCACUUUCAAGUACAGGGGCUGCUCUCUCUCUCUCUCUCCAGAUUCCCUUUUGGUUUCAACGUGCUUUUGCAAUCUUUCUUGCUUUUUCUCCAUCCCCUCUCUCUCUCAUUAUCUUUUCUCCCCUUUCUUGCUUUUCCGGGUUUUUAAACCUGCCAUGCAAGCGGAGGUUCUAGCUGGCCGAAUGCAAUGGUGGUGGUGCGACGAGCGCCGGCGAUGGCGCUGCGGCGGCUGACGGCAGUGGCGUCCAGGGAUUCUUUACUCUGGUACCGUUGUCUCACAUCUGCUAAUAUUGCCUCAAAUUGGUCAAUAUUGCACCAAGGCAAUCUACUUACAAAUUUUCUUACUCACAUUACAUUUGCACAUCAGAAAAGCUACAGUACAGAGAAAUCUUUUCUUGGUGAAUCUUCAUUAAAUUAUUUAUUGGAGCAGAGAUCAAAUUUGUUCGGGUGCCAUGGUGUUGUCAUGAAGUGGCUACAUGCUAGAUCCAUGAGCAGUGCAUUGUUUGAGGUGAAAACAGAAAAUGAUGUUGUACGAUUUUCAAUUGGGAAGCAAGAUGAUAAAAAUUCAAACUCAACAAAUGGAAAGAAGAUGAAGAGACGGGUCAAGAUGUCUAAAAAAGCCAAACUGAAUGAACUUAGAUUCUACCGUUUGAAGGCAAAAAAGAAGAUGACAUCUCCAAAUCCGGAAGUUAGGAUUAGGUACAAACUUGAAAAGGCUAAACGAAAGGAAGCUUGGUUAAUUGAGAAGCUGAGGAAAUUUGAUGUUCCCAAAGCUCCAGUUGAGACAUAUGAUCCUGAAAUUCUAACUGAGGAAGAGAGGUUUUAUCUGAAGCGUACUGGUGAGAAAAAGAAGAAUUAUGUUCCAGUUGGGAGGCGGGGAGUGUUUGGUGGUGUUGUUCUCAAUAUGCAUCUUCACUGGAAGAAACAUGAGACUGUAAAGGUUGUCUGCAAGCCUUGCAGGCCUGGGCAGGUUCAUGUGUAUGCUGAAGAGCUUGCUCGGCUGAGCAAAGGCAUUGUGAUUGAUAUAAAACCAAACAAUACUAUAAUAUUUUAUCGGGGAAAGAAUUAUGUCCAGCCAAAAGUUAUGUCACCUCCUGAUACUUUAUCAAAAAACAAGGCCUUGGAGAAAUAUACAUAUGAACAGUCUCUUGAGCAUACAAGUCAGUUCAUUGAGAAGUUGGAGAAAGAGCUGGAUGAAUAUCAUGAGCACCUGGCUCGCUACAAGAAAGAGAAAGAGCACACAUCUUUUGUGGUUAAUACCUGAUGGUAGGUGAGAAAUGUGUUUGGAGUCUUGAUUCUUCUUGGGAUUUCUUGUGGAAAUCUUUCUUUGCUCAUUUGACCCAUGACCCUAAUGUCAGCCUCUUUGGCCUUUAUUCUUAUGGAAAGCUAAGGUUCCUUCAAAGAUCAAGGCCUUUUCUUGAACUGCUAUCUUUGAGAAAAUCAGUACUGAUGAUUUGUUUCAAAAGUGAUGACCCAACAAUGGCCCUAUAUCCUGAUGUUCGUGUCUUCUGUUUUAUGAAUGGCGAGACUUGCUCUCAUUUGUUGUUAAACCAUCCCUUCUCUUGGGGACAUUGGAGUAAUUUGUUCGAGAUCCUUGGAGAAAAUUGGGUUUGCCAGAUUCUUUGGAGCCCUUGUAUUAUUAUGUCUGGAGGUUUUGUUUGAGGAUAGAGAGGAAAGUUUUGUGGCAGUAUGCUGUUCUGAGUAUUAUUUGGUGCCUUUGGUUGGAAGAAAUGCUAGAAGCUUUAAAGGUGUUGCCACUUCCAGUAAUAUGCUUUGGAGUGGAGUGGUCUGGCACUCUUUUGCUGUUUGGAAAAUGUUUUCUCUUGGCAUGUUUCAUUGGAAGAAUGCAGCGGGAUUGGCUGGCAUUACUUUAUUGAUUGUGUUGUAUUUAUUUUCUUCUAUUUAGCUGCUUUCCUUUUGUAAUGGUAGAAUAUCUUGUCCUCCCUGGUUUUCUCUUUUUUCGUUUUCAUGUUUGUCCUCCUCCUUUCUUCCUUUAAUACAUUUCUUUGUUUAUAUAUAAAGAAAGGAUUCAGUACUUGGUUUAUCUCUGGUCAUUAGCAGCAGGCUGUUUUAAAAGGCUGCUCUUUUUGGAUCUACUGCGAGAUUGGAAGGCGGCUUUAUUUUGAUGGUCCAGAUGAGGAGAAUGAACCAAAGCCAGGGUGAAAGACAUAGCUGGGAAAGGCCUUACACAUUGGAGUGUAACUUCGGGCUGCUGGACAGGCCCACUGCUGAUAGUGUGUACACCAGCUGCUGGUGAUAAAAUUUCAGGAUCACCACAUUGAACACCCUCUGAAUAGGGUCUGGGAUGUUAAUUUUUCAAGAGAAUACCUGGAGCUAUUGCUGAUCAGAAGUUUCUGGUGAUGAUUUCGAAGAAGGUUGUGUUAAGGAGAGAAUUGUUUAGGGUUCUGGGGAUGAGAAUCUUGUUCAUGAUGAUGAUUACAACUUGAAGGUUUUGGGAUCAUUGCUCUGAUACAUGCAAGAGAGAUUCUGUUAGGGAAGAACCUAAAAUUUUUAUAAAAUAUUUAUAUGAUGUUGGUGUUAUAAUAUUUUUUAUAACAAUAUUGUUACA